CAAAUGCGUUUCUAUAGCCAGUGAACUCCGGCUUGUGGGAUGUUAACAUAAUGAUGGUAUAUUAAACAUAACCGCAGUGUACAAUUUAGCCUAAUUUGCUCUCUUUUUUAUGAAAAACAGGGGACGUGUUGAAACUCAACAAACAGCCACCAAGCGCUUGUAGUAAAAACACACUGGAGAACAAACUGCAUCAACUUUCUUCAUUCUUAGUCCCACUAUUAGUUGGAAUUCAAUAUUGAUGAAACUUGACUUUAAGGACGAGAUCAUGGCUUGCAUCCAGUUGACCAGAAACUGCCGUCGGCUCUAAAACUUCAGGCUUGAAGGAGAUUGUGAAGACUCAAGAAGGCGCUUGGCCGAAGUUUGUAUUGACACAACCACUGGCUGAUAACAUGGAUAUUUGGGAUGCCAGAGGAUGUCAUGUCUUGCUCCGGUG
ensembl:lncRNA